rnacentral:tRNA from 1 species
GAGCGUAUAGCUUAAUUAGGUAAAGCAUUAAACUUUUAAUUUAUAGAUUUUAGGUUCAAAUCCUAAUACGCUUA